rnacentral:rRNA from 1 species
AGCGAACGCUGGCGGCAGGCUUAACACAUGCAAGUCGAGCGGGCAUCCUCGUGGUGUCAGCGGCAGACAGGCGAGUAACGCGUGGGAACGUGCCCUUCGGUUCGGAAUAACUCAGGGAAACUUGAGCUAAUACCGGAUACGCCCUUUUGGGGAAAGGUUUAUCUGCCGAAGGAUCGGCCCGCGUCUGAUUAGCUUGUUGGUGAGGUUACGGCUCACCAAGGCGACGAUCAGUAGCUGGUCUGAGAGGAUGAUCAGCCACACUGGGACUGAGACACGGCCCAGACUCCUACGGGAGGCAGCAGUGGGGAAUAUUGGACAAUGGGGGCAACCCUGAUCCAGCCAUGCCGCGUGAGUGAUGACGGCCUUAGGGUUGUAAAGCUCUUUUCUCCGGGACGAUAAUGACGGUACCGGAGGAAUAAGCCCCGGCUAACUUCGUGCCAGCAGCCGCCGCAGUAA